rnacentral:tRNA from 1 species
GCCGGGGUGGCGAAAUGGCAGACGCAGCAGACUCAAAAUCUGCCGGUGGCAACACCGUGAGGGUUCGAUCCCCUCUCCCGGCACCA